GAUGAACGCUAGCUACAGGCUUAACACAUGCAAGUCGAGGGGCAGCAUGGUCUUAGCUUGCUAAGGCCGAUGGCGACCGGCGCACGGGUGAGUAACACGUAUCCAACCUGCCGUCUACUCUUGGACAGCCUUCUGAAAGGAAGAUUAAUACAAGAUGGCAUCAUGAGUUCACAUGUUCACAUGAUUAAAGGUAUUCCGGUAGACGAUGGGGAUGCGUUCCAUUAGAUAGUAGGCGGGGUAACGGCCCACCUAGUCUUCGAUGGAUAGGGGUUCUGAGAGGAAGGUCCCCAACAUUGGAACUGAGACACGGUCCAAACUCCUACGGGAGGCAGCAGUGAGGAAGAUUGGUGAAUGGGCGAGAGCCUGAACCAGCCAAGUAGCGUGAAGGAGGACUGCCAUAGGGGUUGUAAACUUCUUUUAUAAAGGAAUAAAGUCGGGUAUGUAUACCCGUUUGCAUGUACUUUAUGAAUAAGGAUCGGCUAACUACGUG
rnacentral:rRNA from 1 species